AGCGAACGCUGGCGGCAGGCCUAACACAUGCAAGUCGAGCGGCCGUAGCAAUACGGCAGCGGCAGACGGGAGAGUAACACGUGGGAACGUACCCUUUGGUUCGGAACAACCCAGGGAAACUUGGGCUAAUACCGGAUAAGUCCGUAAGGAGAAAGAUUUAUCGCCAAAGGAUCGGCCCGCGUCUGAUUAGCUAGUUGGUGAGGUAAUGGCUCACCAAGGCGACGAUCAGUAGCUGGUCUAAGAGGAUGAUCAGCCUCACUGGGACUGAGACACGGCCCAGACUCCUACGGGAGGCAGCAGUGGGGAAUAUUGGACAAUGGGCGCAAGCCUGAUCCAGCCAUGCCGCGUGGAUGAUGAAGGCCCUAGGGUUGUAAAGUCCUUUCGGCGGGGAAGAUAAUGACGGUACCCGCAGAAGAAGCCCCGGCUAACUUCGUGCCAGCAGCCGCGGUAA
rnacentral:rRNA from 1 species